rnacentral:rRNA from 1 species
GACGAACGCUGGCGGCGUGCCUAAUACAUGCAAGUUGAGCGCUGAAGGUUGGUACUUGUACCGACUGGAUGAGCAGCGAACGGGUGAGUAACGCGUGGGGAAUCUGCCUUUGAGCGGGGGACAACAUUUGGAAACGAAUGCUAAUACCGCAUAAAAACUUUAAACACAAGUUUUAAGUUUGAAAGAUGCAAUUGCAUCACUCAAAGAUGGUCCCGCGUUGUAUUAGCUAGUUGGUGAGGUAAAGGCUCACCAAGGCGAUGAUACAUAGCCGACCUGAGAGGGUGAUCGGCCACAUUGGGACUGAGACACGGCCCAAACUCCUACGGGAGGCAGCAGUAGGGAAUCUUCGUCAAUGGACGAAAGUCUGACCGAGCAACGCCGCGUGAGUGAAGAAGGUUUUCGGAUCGUAAAACUCUGUUGGUAGAGAAGAACGUUGGUGAGAGUGGAAAGCUCAUCAAGUGACGGUAACUACCCAGAAAGGGACGGCUAACUACGUGCCAGCAGCCGCCGUAA